rnacentral:miRNA from 1 species
AGAUGCAUCUCGACUUUCCUGA